rnacentral:rRNA from 1 species
GGGUUGUGAGGUUAAGCGACUAAGCGUACACGGUGGAUGCCCUGGCAGUCAGAGGCGAUGAAGGACGUGCUAAUCUGCGAUAAGCGUCGGUAAGGUGAUAUGAACCGUUAUAACCGGCGAUUUCCGAAUGGGGAAACCCAGUGUGUUUCGACACACUAUCAUUAACUGAAUCCAUAGGUUAAUGAGGCGAACCGGGGGAACUGAAACAUCUAAGUACCCCGAGGAAAAGAAAUCAACCGAGAUUCCCCCAGUAGCGGCGAGCGAACGGGGAGCAGCCCAGAGCCUGAAUCAGUGUGUGUGUUAGUGGAAGCGUCUGGAAAGGCGCGCGAUACAGGGUGACAGCCCCGUACACAAAAAUGCACAUGCUGUGAGCUCGAUGAGUAGGGCGGGACACGUGGUAUCCUGUCUGAAUAUGGGGGGACCAUCCUCCAAGGCUAAAUACUCCUGACUGACCGAUAGUGAACCAGUACCGUGAGGGAAAGGCGAAAAGAACCCCGGCGAGGGGAGUGAAAAAGAACCUGAAACCGUGUACGUACAAGCAGUGGGAGCACGCUUAGGCGUGUGACUGCGUACCUUUUGUAUAAUGGGUCAGCGACUUAUAUUCUGUAGCAAGGUUAACCGAAUAGGGGAGCCGAAGGGAAACCGAGUCUUAACUGGGCGUUAAGUUGCAGGGUAUAGACCCGAAACCCGGUGAUCUAGCCAUGGGCAGGUUGAAGGUUGGGUAACACUAACUGGAGGACCGAACCGACUAAUGUUGAAAAAUUAGCGGAUGACUUGUGGCUGGGGGUGAAAGGCCAAUCAAACCGGGAGAUAGCUGGUUCUCCCCGAAAGCUAUUUAGGUAGCGCCUCGUGAAUUCAUCUCCGGGGGUAGAGCACUGUUUCGGCAAGGGGGUCAUCCCGACUUACCAACCCGAUGCAAACUGCGAAUACCGGAGAAUGUUAUCACGGGAGACACACGGCGGGUGCUAACGUCCGUCGUGAAGAGGGAAACAACCCAGACCGCCAGCUAAGGUCCCAAAGUCAUGGUUAAGUGGGAAACGAUGUGGGAAGGCCCAGACAGCCAGGAUGUUGGCUUAGAAGCAGCCAUCAUUUAAAGAAAGCGUAAUAGCUCACUGGUCGAGUCGGCCUGCGCGGAAGAUGUAACGGGGCUAAACCAUGCACCGAAGCUGCGGCAGCGACGCUGAUGCGUUGUUGGGUAGGGGAGCGUUCUGUAAGCCUGCGAAGGUGUGCUGUGAGGCAUGCUGGAGGUAUCAGAAGUGCGAAUGCUGACAUAAGUAACGAUAAAGCGGGUGAAAAGCCCGCUCGCCGGAAGACCAAGGGUUCCUGUCCAACGUUAAUCGGGGCAGGGUGAGUCGACCCCUAAGGCGAGGCCGAAAGGCGUAGUCGAUGGGAAACAGGUUAAUAUUCCUGUACUUGGUGUUACUGCGAAGGGGGGACGGAGAAGGCUAUGUUGGCCGGGCGACGGUUGUCCCGGUUUAAGCGUGUAGGCUGGUUUUCCAGGCAAAUCCGGAAAACUAAGGCUGAGGCGUGAUGACGAGGCACUACGGUGCUGAAGCAACAAAUGCCCUGCUUCCAGGAAAAGCCUCUAAGCAUCAGGUAACAUCAAAUCGUACCCCAAACCGACACAGGUGGUCAGGUAGAGAAUACCAAGGCGCUUGAGAGAACUCGGGUGAAGGAACUAGGCAAAAUGGUGCCGUAACUUCGGGAGAAGGCACGCUGAUAUGUAGGUGAAGUCCCUCGCGGAUGGAGCUGAAAUCAGUCGAAGAUACCAGCUGGCUGCAACUGUUUAUUAAAAACACAGCACUGUGCAAACACGAAAGUGGACGUAUACGGUGUGACGCCUGCCCGGUGCCGGAAGGUUAAUUGAUGGGGUUAGCGCAAGCGAAGCUCUUGAUCGAAGCCCCGGUAAACGGCGGCCGUAACUAUAACGGUCCUAAGGUAGCGAAAUUCCUUGUCGGGUAAGUUCCGACCUGCACGAAUGGCGUAAUGAUGGCCAGGCUGUCUCCACCCGAGACUCAGUGAAAUUGAACUCGCUGUGAAGAUGCAGUGUACCCGCGGCAAGACGGAAAGACCCCGUGAACCUUUACUAUAGCUUGACACUGAACAUUGAGCCUUGAUGUGUAGGAUAGGUGGGAGGCUUUGAAGUGUGGACGCCAGUCUGCAUGGAGCCGACCUUGAAAUACCACCCUUUAAUGUUUGAUGUUCUAACGUUGACCCGUAAUCCGGGUUGCGGACAGUGUCUGGUGGGUAGUUUGACUGGGGCGGUCUCCUCCUAAAGAGUAACGGAGGAGCACGAAGGUUGGCUAAUCCUGGUCGGACAUCAGGAGGUUAGUGCAAUGGCAUAAGCCAGCUUGACUGCGAGCGUGACGGCGCGAGCAGGUGCGAAAGCAGGUCAUAGUGAUCCGGUGGUUCUGAAUGGAAGGGCCAUCGCUCAACGGAUAAAAGGUACUCCGGGGAUAACAGGCUGAUACCGCCCAAGAGUUCAUAUCGACGGCGGUGUUUGGCACCUCGAUGUCGGCUCAUCACAUCCUGGGGCUGAAGUAGGUCCCAAGGGUAUGGCUGUUCGCCAUUUAAAGUGGUACGCGAGCUGGGUUUAGAACGUCGUGAGACAGUUCGGUCCCUAUCUGCCGUGGGCGCUGGAGAACUGAGGGGGGCUGCUCCUAGUACGAGAGGACCGGAGUGGACGCAUCACUGGUGUUCGGGUUGUCAUGCCAAUGGCACUGCCCGGUAGCUAAAUGCGGAAGAGAUAAGUGCUGAAAGCAUCUAAGCACGAAACUUGCCCCGAGAUGAGUUCUCCCUGACUCCUUGAGAGUCCUGAAGGAACGUUGAAGACGACGACGUUGAUAGGCCGGGUGUGUAAGCGCAGCGAUGCGUUGAGCUAACCGGUACUAAUGAACCGUGAGGCUUAACCUUACAACGCCGAAGCUGUU